CCUACGGGGGGCUGCAGUCGAGAAUCUUCCACAAUGGACGAAAGUCUGAUGGAGCGACGCCGCGUGAUUGAUGAAGUCCCUCUGGGACGUAAAGAUCUUUUAUGAGGGAAGAAGUUUAUUGACGGUACCUCAUGAAUAAGAGGCUCCUAAUCUCGUGCCAGCAGGAGCGGUAAUACGAGAGCCUCGAGCGUUAUCCGGAAUUAUUGGGCGUAAAGGGUGCGUAGGUUGUUCUGUUAGUCUUUUGUUAAAUCCCGGGGCUUAACCUCGGGCGAGCGAAAGAAACGGCAGAACUUGAAAGUACGAGAGGCGUACGGAACUCAUGGUGUAGGAGUGAAAUCCGUUGAUAUCAUGGGGAACACCAAAAGCGAAGGCAGUACGCUGGCGCAUAUUUGACACUGAAGCACGAAAGCGUGGGUAGCGAAUGGGAUUAGAUACCCGGGUAGUC
rnacentral:rRNA from 1 species